GACGAACGCUGGCGGCGUGCUUAACACAUGCAAGUCGAACGGGAGUAUUGAAGAAGCUUGCUUUAGAGAUACUUUAGUGGCGGACGGGUGAGUAACGCGUGAGGAGCUGUCCGAUGCAGGGGGACAACAGUUGGAAACGACUGCUACUACCCCAUAAGCCGAGAGGUAAAAGGAUUUAUCCGGCAAUGGAGGUACUCGCGUCCUAUCAGCUAGUAGGUGAGGUAAAGGCACACCUAGGCGAAGACGGGUAGCCGGCCUGAGAGGGCGAACGGCCACACUGGGAGUGAGAUACGGACAAGACUCCUACGGUAGGCAGCAGUGGGGAAUAUUUGGCAAUGGGGGGAAGCCUGACCCAGCGGCGCCGCGUGGGUGAAGAAAUCCUUCGGGAUGUAAAGCCCUGUUGUAUGGGAAGAGCGGAAGACGGUACCAUACGAGGAAGCCCCGGCAAACUACGUGCCAGCAGCCGCAGUAA
rnacentral:rRNA from 1 species